GUGUUUAGGUUGUUGGAGGUUUAAAAGAUGGAGAUGAAGCUUCACUGGAGAGGAUUCACCAUCUGGGACCAACUGAAAAUGGGCAAAUUGAUUUCAAGGAGAUGUAAUCUGUGACACAACUUCAGGGUCUGCAUAGCGCAAGAACGACGUCCGCGCAAGCGCGGAUUCAUCUGGUCAUCACUUUGUCUUCUAAUGCUAUGAGAAUUACUUUAUUUUGCUUCAAUCUGUCAGUCAACGCCAUUACAUGUAGCGUAACAUGUAAAAGUUUUGUUAUCUAGAAAAGUUACUUUGUUUAUUUAAAUUGAUUUGUGUGAUUGUGUAGUUUAAUUAUUUUUUAUCCUUAGCUCACACCUUGGUAUGUUGACGAGUUUGUCUUCUGUGACUUUUUUACUUUUUUGUCUUUCAAUGGUGUUUGUAUGUUACUGUCUA